rnacentral:rRNA from 1 species
GAUGAACGCUGGCGGCGUGCCUAAUACAUGCAAGUCGAACGAACAGACGAGGAGCUUGCUCCUCUGACGUUAGCGGCGGACGGGUGAGUAACACGUGGAUAACCUACCUAUAAGACUGGGAUAACUUCGGGAAACCGGAGCUAAUACCGGAUAAUAUAUUGAACCGCAUGGUUCAAUAGUGAAAGACGGUUUUGCUGUCACUUAUAGAUGGAUCCGCGCCGCAUUAGCUAGUUGGUAAGGUAACGGCUUACCAAGGCGACGAUGCGUAGCCGACCUGAGAGGGUGAUCGGCCACACUGGAACUGAGACACGGUCCAGACUCCUACGGGAGGCAGCAGUAGGGAAUCUUCCGCAAUGGGCGAAAGCUUGACGGAGCAACGCCGCGUGAGUGAUGAAGGUCUUCGGAUCGUAAAACUCUGUUAUUAGGGAAGAACAAAUGUGUAAGUAACUCUGCACGUCUUGACGGUACCUAAUCAGAAAGCCCCGGCUAACUACGUG